UACGUAGGGUGCAGGCGUUAAUCGGAAUUACUGGGCGUAAAGCGUGCGCAGGCGGUCUUUUAAGUCAGAUGUGAAAUCCCCGGGCUUAACCUGGGAACUGCGUUUGAAGCUGGAAGGCUAGAGUGUGGCAGAGGGGGGUGGAAUUCCACGUGUAGCAGGUGAAAUGCGUAGAGUAUGUGGAGGAACACCGAUGGCGAAGGCAGCCCCCUGGGCUAACACUGACGCUCAUGCACGAAAGCGUGGGGAGCAAACAGG
rnacentral:rRNA from 1 species